GCCAGGCCUCUAGUCCCAGCUACUUGGGAGGUUGAGACAGGAUCUCUUGGGCCCAGGAGUUCUAAGCACUAUGCCGAUGGGGUGUCUGCACUAAGCUCAGCAUGAUGACCUCCUGCAAGCAGGGGACCACCAGGUUGCCCAAGGAGGGAUGAACUGCCCCAGGUCAGAAACAGAGCUGAUCAGUAGUGGGAUCACACCUGUGAACAGCCACUGCUCUCCAGCAUGGGCAGCACAGCAAGACCUUGUCUCUU
rfam:Nomascus leucogenys chromosome 4, whole genome shotgun sequence.